AUUGAACGCUGGCGGCAUGCCUUACACAUGCAAAUCGAACGGUAACGGGCCUUCGGGUGCCGACGAGUGGCGAACGGGCGAGUAAUACAUCGGAACGUGCCCGAUCGUGGGGGAUAACGAGGCGAAAGCUUUGCUAAUACCGCAUACGAUCUACGGAUGAAAGCAGGGGACCGCAAGGCCUUGCGCGGACGGAGCGGCCGAUGGCAGAUUAGGUAGUUGGUGGGAUAAAAGCUUACCAAGCCGACGAUCUGUAGCUGGUCUGAGAGGAUGAUCAGCCACACUGGGACUGAGACACGGCCCAGACUCCUACGGGAGGCAGCAGUGGGGAAUUUUGGACAAAGGGCGCAAGCCUGAUCCAGCCAUGCCGCGUGCAGGAUGAAGGCCUUCGGGUUGUAAACUGAUUUUGUACGGAACGAAAAGCCUUCUUUUAAUACAGGAGGGUCAUGACGGUACCGUAAGAAUAAGCACCGGCUAACUACGUG
rnacentral:rRNA from 1 species